GAAACAAACAGGGCAGAAGCUUACCUUCUUUGCCGGCGAGCGGCGGACGGGUGAGUAAUGCCUAGGGAUCUGCCCAGUCGAGGGGGAUAACAGUUGGAAACGACUGCUAAUACCGCAUACGCCCUACGGGGGAAAGGAGGGGACCUUCGGGCCUUCCGCGAUUGGAUGAACCUAGGUGGGAUUAGCUAGUUGGUGAGGUAAUGGCUCACCAAGGCGACGAUCCCUAGCUGUUCUGAGAGGAUGAUCAGCCACACUGGGACUGAGACACGGCCCAGACUCCUACGGGAGGCAGCAGUGGGGAAUAUUGCACAAUGGGGGAAACCCUGAUGCAGCCAUGCCGCGUGUGUGAAGAAGGCCUUCGGGUUGUAAAGCACUUUCAGUAGGGAGGAAAGGUAGCAGCUUAAUACGCUGUUGCUGUGACGUUACCUACAGAAGAAGGACCGGCUAACUCCGUGCCAGCAGCCGCGGUAAUACGGAGGGUCCGAGCGUUAAUCGGAAUUACUGGGCGUAAAGCGUGCGCAGGCGGUUUGUUAAGCGAGAUGUGAAAGCCCCGGGCUCAACCUGGGAAUUGCAUUUCGAACUGGCGAACUAGAGUCUUGUAGAGGGGGGUAGAAUUCCAGGUGUAGCGGUGAAAUGCGUAGAGAUCUGGAGGAAUACCGGUGGCGAAGGCGGCCCCCUGGACAAAGACUGACGCUCAGGCACGAAAGCGUGGGGAGCAAACAGGAUUAGAUACCCUGGUAGUCCACGCCGUAAACGAUGUCUACUCGGAGUUUGGUGUCUUGAACACUGGGCUCUCAAGCUAACGCAUUAAGUAGACCGCCUGGGGAGUACGGCCGCAAGGUUAAAACUCAAAUGAAUUGACGGGGGCCCGCACAAGCGGUGGAGCAUGUGGUUUAAUUCGAUGCAACGCGAAGAACCUUACCUACUCUUGACAUCCAGAGAAUUCGCUAGAGAUAGCUUAGUGCCUUCGGGAACUCUGAGACAGGUGCUGCAUGGCUGUCGUCAGCUCGUGUUGUGAAAUGUUGGGUUAAGUCCCGCAACGAGCGCAUCCCCUAUCCUUAUUGCAGCACGUAAUGGUGGGAACCUCUAGGGAGACUGCCGGUGAUAAACCGGAGGAAA
rnacentral:rRNA from 1 species